rnacentral:lncRNA from 1 species
CAAUUCACACCUAUCCAGAUUCUACUGUUCAUGAACAAUUUUCUACUAUUCAUUAAAUAUCUCUUUUGUAAAAGGUUUAAUGGUUCACUUCUCUCACACGUGUCAAUCUCUUACUGCUUCCCUUCUCUUUCACUUACCCUUUUUCUCUCAUGGCUGAGGAAAAAUUCUUGUUUGAAACACCCAGGAUGAAGAAAUUGAACUCAAAAGUGUAACUGGGUCGUACUGUUCAUUAGGGCCAAAACAUUCUCUCUUCACUUUUUCGUAGAUAUUCCUUAUUACUUUUGUAUUCAUUCCUCAUGCAAAUCCUUGCAAUGUUUUCUUAAUUUCCCCUUUGAUAGUUUUCAAAUCUUCAAUCUUCCAAAGCUAUUUUUAGGCCGUAAUCUCCAAAUGAAUCUUCCUCUUCCAAAUAAGCCGAACAUAGUUACACAGAAGGCUUCAGUUAUUCCAUGGCUCAUCCCACUCAGGAACAAGCGCUUCCUCUCCUCACUUCAAUGAACAACCAUGGGGAUUUGGCUGUGAAGUUGUCGUCCCUGAAGCAAGUGAAGGACAUAUUACUUUCUUCACAGCCUUCUCACGACGCAAAGUUUUUUCUGUACUCGAUUGAGCUCAGACUUCCCCAGACAUGCUCGUGCGUAAAUACCUCCUCAAGUAAGUUUUGUAACUGGAAACAUAAAUAAUCUCCGAUUUUGGUAGUUCUGUGAAAUCUUUAUUUUUCGACUCUAUUUUAUUUGAUCUUGUGAUUUUUUUUAAUUAAUGCAUUAAACACAAUUUUAUUUCUUAAUUUAUUCAAGGAAAGUAAGAAAUUAUUUAAAUUGGGUUAUGUUAUUUUUCAUGAUUUUUUGAGGAAUAAAAAAGUUGUGCAUUGUAUUUGCCCCGUCAAUGUGCUGGAUGCAGUUGUAAGAACAAGUGAGGUGGAUUGAAUUGCAGGUGUGAAUAAGAUAAACUGUACAUAUUGGAGCAUGGUAUGCGUAUUUGUAAGACAAAUUAUCCUGUUGGUUAAGCUGUGAAUAAACAAAGGUUCCAAUUUCAAUUUCGAAGAGAUUAUAGAAUUAUUGAAAGAGAUAAAUAUUUGUUUAUGGAUUGUACAUGGGUAAUGUUGUUACAAGGCUAAGAUAAGGGACGAGGCAGUGGCAUUACUAGCUCAGGCAAAAAGACAGAUACCCAUGUCAGUAGCAGCACCAAAUGCAGUUAAUAAUGCUGUCUUAAGCAAUGGAAAAAGAGGUACUUGACUUCUUUGCAAGUGGAGUAAUUCUAUUUACUGUGUUUGCUGAUUUAUGAAACUCUAUUUUGUUUGCUGCUGCUGGGGAUGAUGAGAUGGGUCAUGAUGGGGAAAAAUUACAUCUUAGAAUAUCAAAUAAUAUCAUUUCUGAGCUUUCAGGCUGUAAUGCUGCUCUUUCACAUCUAAGGAAAAAGCGAAAGGUCAUACUUUUAGUGAUAUAGAGUUUUUGCUCUGUUAAAUGGUUUUACCAUGUCUUAUAGUUUCGAUAUUGAAAAUUCUUUCCUGCAAAUCUCACAAGCUUCAUAUAUUUGUAUAAUUUCAGGUACCCCCAACAUUGGCAUUUAUUGAUGCUGUGGAGAAAUACACUCAACUUAAUGGUUAUCCUCUUCAUCGGACAAAACAAACUUGCCAUAUUAUCUUUUGACAUCCAAUAUUCCAAGUUAUGGGAUUAUAAUGUUUAUUGGUUCAUCAAUCCAUCCUUUUUCAUUCAAUAGAUUGCCUUCCACAUGGCAUGACCCUGCAUAUUACCUCUAUUUUUUUUAGGAUCUCCCCAUUUAUCUAAAACCAAGGUAUUGAUCUGGUAAUGUUGAAUUAUUGAGUUCAAGUAUAGGCUUUGGAGGCAUUGAAUCAGUGUGCUGCUGUAAAGCAAAGCAAUGACAUAGUAGUGUAGUGCUCUGUUUAAAUGGAUUUUUAUAUGGUAUUGUGGGUCGCCUUGUAGAUACUUAUACAACUUUUUGACUAUUUCCUAGCUUCCUGAAAAAGUGUGCGCCAAUACCUAAAUUCAAUUGUUUCAAGACUACUAUAGGAUUUUUUUUAUUUUUUAUUUUUUAUUUUUCGACAAAAUACUUCCAAGGAAAAAGGUGCGGCCUGAAUGCUAAAAUUUGGGCGUGGUACCCGGAUCAAUCAUUAUGCAUUAAUGGAUUGACUCCUACUUGUGUUGUUAUGAUUGUAUGGUUAAUUCUUGUUUUCAUUUGCUCUUAAUUGUUUAUAG